UGCCUACGGGAGGCAGCAGUGAGGAGUAUUGGUCAAUGGGCGCGAGCCUGAACCAGCCAAGUCGCGUGAGGGAAGACGGUCCUAUGGAUUGUAAACCUCUUUUGUCGGGGAGCAAAAGACGCCACGCGUGGCGUUCCGAGAGUACCCGAAGAAAAAGCAUCGGCUAACUCCGUGCCAGCAGCCGCGGUAAUACGGAGGAUGCGAGCGUUAUCCGGAUUUAUUGGGUUUAAAGGGUGCGUAGGCGGGCAUUUAAGCCGGCGGUCAAAUGUCGGGGCUCAACCCCGGCCUGCCGUCGGAACUGGGUG
rnacentral:rRNA from 1 species